rnacentral:rRNA from 1 species
AAGGUUAGUCCGAGUGAUUUCUGCUAAAGAGAUCUUUUGCUAGUUAUAAAACCACUAGUGAAUAAGGGGUGGGCAAGUUCUGGUGUCAGCCGCCGCGGUAAAACCAGCACCUCAAGUGGUCAGGAUGAUUAUUGGGCCUAAAGCAUCCGUAGCCGGCUCUGUAAGUUUUCGGUUAAAUCUAUGCGCUUAACGUAUGGGCUGCCGAAAAUACUGUAGAGAUAGGGAGUGGGAGAGGUAGACGGUACUCGGUAGGAAGGGGUAAAAUCCUUUGAUCUAUUGAUGACCACCUGUGGCGAAGGCGGUCUACCAGAACACGUUCGACGGUGAGGGAUGAAAGCUGGGGGAGCAAACCGGAUUAGAUACCCGGGUAGUCCCAGCUGUAAACGAUGCAGACUCGAUGAUGCAUUGGCAUAUAGCCAGUGCAGUGUCGCAGGGAAGCCGUUAAGUCUGCCGCCUGGGAAGUACGUACGCAAGUAUGAAACUUAAAGGAAUUGGCGGGGGAGCACCACAAGGGGUGAAGCCUGCGGUUCAAUUGGAGUCAACGCCAGAAAUCUUACCCGGAGAGACAGCAGAAUGAAGGUCAAGCUGAAGACUUUACCAGACAAGCUGAGAGGUGGUGCAUGGCCGUCGCCAGCUCGUGCCGUGAGAUGUCCUGUUAAGUCAGGUAACGAGCGAGAUCCCUGCCACUAGUUGCUAUCAUUAUUCUCAGGAAUAGUGGGGCGAAUUAGUGGGACUGCCGUUGUUAAAACGGAGGAAGGAAGGGGCUACGGCAGGUCAGUAUGCCCCGAAACUCUGGGGCCACACGCGGGCUGCAAUGGUAGCGACAAUGAGUUCCAAACUCGAAAGAGAGUGGCAAUCCCUAAACGCUACCACAGUUAUGACUGAGGGCUGUAACUCGCCCUCACGAAUAUGGAGUCCCUAGUAACCGCGUGUCAUUACCGCGCGGUGAAUACGUCCCUGCUCCUUGCACACACCGCCCGUCGUUUCAUCGAAGUUUGCUUUUAGCGAGGUGAUGUUUAAUUGGCAUUAUCGAACUUGAGGUAAGCGACGAGGGAAAAGUCGUAACAAGGUAACC